rnacentral:rRNA from 2 species
ACGUAGGGGGCAAGCGUUGUCCGGAAUUACUGGGUGUAAAGGGAGCGCAGGCGGAGAAGCAAGUCAGUGGUGAAAACGAUGGGCUUAACUCAUCGACUGCCAUUGAAACUGUUUCCCUUGAGUGAAGUAGAGGCAGGCGGAAUUCCGAGUGUAGCGGUGAAAUGCGUAGAUAUUCGGAGGAACACCAGUGGCGAAGGCGGCCUGCUGGGCUUUAACUGACGCUGAGGCUCGAAAGUGUGGGGAGCAAACAG